rnacentral:rRNA from 1 species
UACGAAGGGGGCUAGCGUUGCUCGGAAUCACUGGGCGUAAAGCGCACGUAGGCGGAUUGUUAAGUCAGGGGUGAAAUCCUGGAGCUCAACUCCAGAACUGCCUUUGAUACUGAGGAUCUUGAGUCCGGGAGAGGUGAGUGGAACUCCGAGUGUAGAGGUGAAAUUCGUAGAUAUUCGGAAGAACACCAGUGGCGAAGGCGGCUCACUGGCCCGGUACUGACGCUGAGGUGCGAAAGCGUGGGGAGCAAACAGG